AGAGGCCCAAGCACAAGCCCACAUGCAAGCCCACCAAAGGGUAGAUUUGGGCCAACCAUAGAGUUAUGGCCAAGAGGAUCCAAGAAGACGUUCUUUUACAUGUUCAAAUGCCAUAAACUCUAGUGUAGAGUAGACUUUAAUUUCUUGUCAAAAUUAGCAUAGGAACUUUAUUUGUAAUUUUCUUAGAAUUAAUUUUUGCACCUAAAACACCAACCUAGGUAAACUUAGAGUUUCUAAAAAAACCUCUAAAUUUACCAAGGCCGAUCUAGAAAGCCCAUGGAGGGGGUGAGCAUAAAAACUAGACACACCCCUCCCCAUGUGCUC
rnacentral:lncRNA from 1 species